rnacentral:misc_RNA from 1 species
AAUCGAAAGGUGGUGUGUGUCAAUUGGUUCCACUUAAAUUUAUUUGAGAUCUAACAACUACUUUUUGAGUUAUAUCUAAUAAUGCGUUUUUACUUGACGCUUUUUUCGUCGAUCUACGUUGUAUUAUACCGCAUAACUUUCUACUGGGUGUACCGAUUUUGAUAAUUCUUUUUUUGUUAGAAAGAAGAUAUCCCUAGUUUAGUACCAUGAUAAGGAA